GUCGUCAUUCCAAAACGUUUACAAAGACGCACCUUAACCUUGACAACUUGAGGUUCCCCAUCAUCGUUGACAUCAGCCAAAGAUGAAUCAAACCAGUGCUGAUUGCCAAAUUCAUAUUUUCUUACACGGAGGUCUCUAUAUAUAUCCCAUAUAUGGUCGACGUUAGCAUGGUGGGCGAAGAACACACAAUCCUCUUUUGCAGCAGUGUAAAAGUUUCCCAUAUCAUGGUGAGCAUCAAAAGAAUAAAGCCAAGUUCUCCUAACAAAGAUAUAAUUCGUAGAUUCCGGCGGUUGAUGACAAAAGUGGCAGACAUUAGCUAUGGGGUUACCACUUGCCAAGACCAAGACUGUUUCUCUUAUUCUAGUACGGAGUUUAUCGAUGCUUGCCAUAGGAAAAAAAAAAACUAUUCUGUGUGGCCAUAUCUUAGUCCAUAUUUUGGCCUAUUUUGUGUGGCUACUGAAUUGUAUACUGUAUGGACAGAGAACUGGACAUCUUUAUUGCCGAGCCAUAAAGACACGGAGUCCAAGUAAUUGAGGAGUCUGGCCAUCUAUCGAAAUCAUUAAGUCUUCUGCGUAAUAUCCCUAACUCCCAGUUUAGGCUUGAAGCAUGAGGGGAGGAAGCAACUUGCAAGACAAUGCCUUUAGUGUGCGUAGAUCCUUUUUUUUUUUUGCGUAGAUCCUACCCUUUAUAAUUAGUUCAAGGAAUGAAAGUAGACAAACACGAACAAUUAUUUCAGAAAUAAUCUUCACAAAAUUGGUCAAUUAAUCCAAUAACGAUAAUUUUUGGGUGAAAAAGACAUGUAAAAUUUGAUACUGUUUAAAUGGACGAAAAUUAAACAGUUUCAUCGUACCAUUUUCAAAUGUUUUUUCUUAUUUUUAAUUUACAUCAGGAUGCAUCCA